rnacentral:lncRNA from 1 species
CAAACAGAGUGCUCUAGGAGCUGAGGGGAGGGCUGAAGGGCAGAGAGCAAGCAAGACAGCAGGCCUCCUUGUUACGGUUAGCAGACUCAUGAUAACGCCAGCGUGGACGCCAGCUGCUCUCUGGGCUGUGGAAUUCCAAGGCUUGGCACAGCACUGGCUUGCAGCUUCUCACCUGAGCAGGAGAUAACAGGGAGCUUGGACAAUAGUAGCUCCAGGCCCAGCGCAAACCCUUUUGGGGAGCCACAGAGCCCCAGGAGGAGAACAGAGCGGUGCUGCCUCCAGGCCUAAGCUGCCCAUGUUGAGAGGCUGUGCUUCUCCUUCGUGCUGCCGCCUGGAGACUGAUCCCCGGAGCUGCCCACCCUGCCCCUCUCCUUCCCACACCGCCCUGUGGCCAGCCUACUUCCUGCAUUUCCAUUUAACCAAGGAAACCCUUUAAAGAAGAGAGGAUCAGCCUGAUGCCAUGGCAUGAAGUCCUCCCACCCGCAGCUCUGCUCCUGGUAUUUCAGUUACAGCCUUUGAAAGAAGAAAUGUGACUUAACUUUUCAUAGAAUACUCCAAGGAGCAAUAUAAGCAUGCAAGUUCAUUGAUCUGGCUUGUUCAAGCUAAUUAAGUGGCCACUCAUUUCAACUAAGAUUGGGAUCUUUGGAGGAGAAAACACAUUUUGGUUUUAAUUUAGAAAUCUUUGCCUGCCUCAUUGGGCACUUGUGAGACUCACUCUCACAUUUAUUUCUCAAAUGCCCAAUCCCAAAUUCUUUUUUUUUUCCUUUUGGUGCCAGGGAUUAAACUCGGGACCUUGUGCUUGCCAGGCAGGGUGGUCCCAUUAAGCUAAAUCCCCGGCCCUUUUUUUUUUUUUUUUUG